AGCGACUCUAAAUUUGUUCCGCGACGCCACGGGAGAUAACUCUAUUGCACACACUCUGCGAGUGGGUAUCAACAAACGAAGGCACGACGAAAGAUAUGCGGACCGAUUAAAACAAGUAUAUUCAACAGGUGCUAUCUUGGCAAAAAUGGGACGUUAUUCAGAUAGUGAUGAUGAUUAUGAUCUGAAGAAAUCAAAGAAAAAGAAGAGGAGAAAGUCUAGGUCCAGAUCAAGAUCGGCCAGCAGUGGAAGCAGCAGAUACUCCAGUAAGCAUAAAA